rnacentral:lncRNA from 1 species
CCGCGCCUGCUCCUCGGACGCCGCCGCCUGUAGGCGGCCCAGGCGCGUGCCCGGGAAGCGCGCAAGGGCGCGCGCGCUCAGCAGCCGCCGCACUCCGCCCACGUUCACGCGCAGCGCCUCGUCUCUAGGCCGCCAGGGGACCCGAGAGCCUGGACCCGGAAACUCGCUCACCAUGGCUACGACAGUGUGCCUCCCUGUUGGUUAAAAUCCCCGGCCAUAUCCACAGUGCUGAAGACUGUGUGAAGUGCCAGACAUGCUAUUCUGAAUUUGCCACUUGCUAGCUGUUGACCUGAGCGGAUCCAUCACCCUCUCCGAGCUGCUGUUUCCCUCCUCUGCAGUCUGGACUGCACUGGCGAGAAGGAGGAUUAAACAAGCCUGGUGUUUCCGGUAGCGCAGUCCCUGGACCAUAACGGGCGCAUCAUUUGCAUCCUCUAUCGGCUUUGCCAUCUAAACACAGUUUUGAGUACAGUACACUUCUAUCAUCCAUUUGAAGCCCUGUUUGGGUCAACUCCCCAUCUGCCACGCGCUUCCCUGCUCUAUGAAUUAGGGCUAAGUUAGCUGCAGGAACAGAAAUGGAUUCCCAGUGGCUUCACUAGAGAGAAGAGCCUGUCUUUUGCAGCAGACACAGCUGCCCAGGAGCAACACUGAAGGUCAGCUCCUUGCGACUCCUUCCUCCACUCUCUGGUGGAGCCCUCCUCCCAGGAGUGAGGGAUGUGGAUGCUCUACGCACAGCCCCUUGAAGAUCCAUUAGCCUUUUGUGCACACUGGCUGCUGGGAUGUUUUCCCAUUGGACAAGCUGCAGUCUGUGGCUGUUUGUUA